ensembl:lncRNA
CUUAAGGGAUGAGCUAGAGCAGCGGGUGCCUUGUGCUGUGGGCAGCAUGUGCAGCCUGGUAUGGCUGAGUAGAUAGAGCGCUGGCAGCCCAUGGCAGCAAGCCAGGGCCACUUGGCGAGGGCUCACCCUGAGAGUAGAGUGGAUGGAGCUGUGCUAGCCUGUGAACAAGCAGGGGCCAAGUGCAAGCCCACAAGAGGGCACAGGGCAGGCAGAAGCUGUAGACUGGAUGCAGAGCAAGGAGGAAUUCAUAUGAUCCUGGGGUCUUUGGCUGUGGUGAGCUCAGAUACAGAGAGGGUACUACGCAGACAUUAGACAGACCGUUCCAGCCAGUGAUCAAGAGAUGAACUCUGCCCUGGCGGAGCUUUCCCGGAACUAUUCUGGUGACCUUGGGGCACGAGUGGCGCUGCAUGAACUCUACAAGUAUAUCAACAAAUACUACGAUCAGAUCAUCACUGCCCUGGAGGAGGAUGGCACAGCCCAGAAGAUGCAACUGGGCUAUCGGCUCCAGCAGAUCGCGGCUGCUGUGGAAAACAAGGUCACGGAUCUGUAGAGACCUGGGAGCCCUGGUCUGCUGUUGCCUUCACCCUGUCGGGGCAGCCUUGGAACCUUGAAGGAGAGACCACCGUCUUAGAUGCCUAUAGUGACUGACAAGCAGAGUUAGAGAAAGGUGGCUCCCAGUCUCCUUGUAGCUCUGGCCUGAGCGCUGUUGGACCAUCUUAUAGGCCUGGGGCCUUGAGGCCCAUAGGGCAGUGCCUGGCCAGGUCUGAGCCCAGUGACCCUGUGAGCUACUUCCUGUGUGACACCAGCCUACAGGGAGUUGGGGAUUAAGUGCUUCCAGAGAGUGGCUGGAAGGGCUUCCAGGCCCCUGAGGAGACUGUACUGUUUGUGAGCACUGGCCUUUGUCCUGCCAGGAUACAGAGAGGAAGGAAAACCUUCCUAUUUCUUGUCUUCCUCUUUCAUCCUCCUUGAACUUGGUUCAGCUUCCUCUGUCGCUGCUGCCACCUGCAAGAGAUAAAUGCCAUUUCUAGGUCACUGCACACUGACCUCUCAGGUGGGCUGGCUACCUCAGGCUACCCAGCCUCCCAGGCAGCACUAGGUACCCUGUGUGAGGGGCAUGAGCUGCAGGGGGCCCUUGAGGAGAGGGUGGCCUGCUCACCCAGCUUGUCAUUAAAGGAUAACACACUGCAUCGAGUCUGAUGUAUGGGCCACCCAGCCCUCCCCUAGUAUGUGGGAGGCAGCUGUGCUUAGCAGGCACCUGGGGGAGGCUGACUGUGUAUGUGGAGGGGUCUGGCCCUCAUGAAGGUCCCCCACUGCAGGGCUGGCUGGCUGUCCUUGGCUCCAGGGCAUGUCCAGGGAAGGAAGUGAGAGCCCCAUCCAGGACAGGGCUGGGGGAGGCCUGUGACUCAAGGUGGAAGGGUCCAAUGUCUCUUCAGGGGCCCUACCUGUCUGCAAUUUGAGGGUUUUACUAUCUUCACUCAUAUUCCAUUUGUUUUGAAAGGAGUUGGGGCAGGAUGGCACCAUGGCAGGCACCUCCAAACAGUGUGGGUUUUUUCUAUGGUCCUGUGUCUGGACCCCUGGUUUCACUACUUUCUUCCAAGUCAAGACAUCUUAGGGCAGGGGUUCAACCCAACGGCCUGCCUGCAUGAAGGCACCUUGUGUGUUUUUCCCCAUUUGUAGAUGGAGGUGAGUUUUGAGACUGUUUUAGUGGGGUCUCACAUUGCUGUUGGAUCAGUAAGGGUGGGGGCUGAUGCUCUUUGAGACUACCCUUGGCAUCAGCAGGCCAGACCCUCACCGAACAGAAGCGAGAUGAGGGCCCUUCAGGUGAGGAUCCCGAGGAGGCUCAGCCCUUUUGCUCUUUGCUUACUCCCCAUUACCCAGUGACCUCCACCCCCGCCUCCCUUGCCCUCUGUCUAGAACCCUUAGCCUCCCCUUGAGUGUUUGAAGAGACAGAUGGUGAUACAUUUCCAGGGAGAGUUCUUUCUUCCUCUUCUUGGCUCUAAAGCAAUCUGCAAAGUCUUUGUCCCUAAGAUAACAGGAGUCACACAGUUGGUCUUGUUCAUCCAUGUUAGGGGGAGUCACAGCUGCUCUUUUGUGCUGGCUCUAAUGACCCUACUCCAUUUCUGCCAGAUGUGGGGACUACAGUCAGGUGAUGUCAUUUAGGAGCAUGUGAACUUUAGUUCUUUGAGUGCUCCAGGUAGGACUUUUUCUUUUCUGUUUUUUUUUUUUUGGUACCGGGGAUUGAACUCAGGACCUUGCAAUUGUGAGGCAGGCAGCAGCACCUCUGAGCUAAAUCCCCUUUCUUUUUGGUACUGAGGAUUGAACCCAGGGCUCACACAUGCUAGGCAAAUGCUUCACCAUGGAGCUACAUCACCAGCCUUUUAAAUUUUUUUUUUUUUCAAGACAAGGUCUUGAAAGUUGCCCAGACUGGCCUCAAACUUGUGAUCCUCCUGGUUCGGCCUCCAAGUAGCUAGAAUUACAUGUGUGUACCACCACACCAGGCCCAGCUAGGUUUUUAUAGUCACUCGAAAUGGUAAUGAAUUUCCACUGGUGGCUCUGGCAAACUAUGGAGUUGACAGUCUCAGGGAGCAGGGCCAAUGGGGAAUUAGCCCAGGGUGGACUUGAGCAGGUACAGAGGGAGACAGCCUUGGUCGACACCAUAGGGGCUGUGCCAGCUGUGCUGCUGUGCCAGGCUCUGGUGUUGAGGGCUCCCUGCAGAGGAGGGCCAAGUCCUGCAUGCCCGAGCCUGUGCACAUGGGAGCAUAAGUGCUGAACAUAAUCUAAAUCACACUCAUCUCUCCCCUCACAGAACAUUGUGGUGAUAAAAGAUGUAAAGGAGCUGGGCAUGGUGUUGCACACCUGUAAUCCCAGCACUUGGGAGGCUGAGGCAGAAGGAUCCUUGCACGUUUGAGGCCAGCCCGGUGUACAUAGCGAGAUCAUGUCUCAAAAAACCAAAAAUAAAACAAAACAUGUAAAGGAGGGAAAAAAACCCACCACAAAAAGAUAGGAAACUUCACUUAGUUGAGUGGAGAUGCCAGCACUGACAGGAGUUUGUGGUUGUUCACUUGGGUUUACGCCACAAUUUCACUGUAGAAAUUUGUGAUUCAGUUUGACCAAUCUUUUCUCACCAACAUUGCAAAGGUGCAAACCUGUUAGCAUAUAGAGCUGAUGUUUCCCAUCAUCUGAGGCUCCUUGAGGACUUUAUGGAAUGACUUGGUUUCUUAAAGUAGCUUUCACUAAUUUAAAUAUUGGAGUAAUUGUCCAAAUGGUUAGAAGAUCAAGGAGUAUUUUCAUUAACUUGUUGAUGUUGA